rfam:Schwartzia succinivorans DSM 10502 genome assembly, contig: EJ98DRAFT_scaffold00015.15
AUAUUGGAGAGUUUGAUCCUGGCUCAGGACGAACGCUGGCGGCGUGCUUAACACAUGCAAGUCGAACGGGGCGAUUUGAAAGCUUGCUUUUGAUGAGCCUAGUGGCAAACGGGUGAGUAACGCGUAGGCAACCUGCCCUCAGGAUGGGGACAACGGCCCGAAAGGACCGCUAAUACCGAAUGACGUAUCGGGAUCGCAUGAUCCUGAUACCAAAGGCGGAGCAAUCCGUCACCUGAGGAUGGGCCUGCGUCUGAUUAGGUAGUUGGUGAGGUAACGGCCCACCAA